CCUACGGGGGGCUGCAGUGGGGAAUAUUGCACAAUGGGCGGAAGCCUGAUGCAGCAACGCCGCGUGCGGGAUGAAGGCCUUCGGGUUGUAAACCGCUUUCACUGCCGACGAAUGUGACGGUAGGCGGAGAAGAAGCACCGGCUAACUACGUGCCAGCAGCCGCGGUGAUACGUAGGGUGCGAGCGUUGUCCGGAUUUAUUGGGCGUAAAGAGCUCGUAGGCGGUUUGUUGCGUCGGAAGUGAAAACCCACGGCUUAACUGUGGGCUUGCUUUCGAUACGGGCAGACUUGAGGGAUGUAGGGGAGAACGGAAUUCCUGGUGGAGCGGUGGAAUGCGCAGAUAUCAGGAGGAACACCAGUGGCGAAGGCGGUUCUCUGGACAUUUCCUGACGCUGAGGAGCGAAAGCGUGGGGAGCAAACAGGCUUAGAUACCCCUGUAGUC
rnacentral:rRNA from 1 species